rnacentral:rRNA from 1 species
AAGCAUAUCAAUAAGCGGAGGAAAAGAAACCAACAGGGAUUGCCUUAGUAACGGCGAGUGAAGCGGCAAUAGCUCAAAUUUGAAAUCUGGCUUCGGCCCGAGUUGUAAUUUGUAGAGGAUGCUUCGGCUUACGCACCGGUCUAAGUUCCUUGGAACAGGACGUCACAGAGGGUGAGAAUCCCGUUUGUGGCCGGUGCUUCCGCCAUGUGAAGCUCCUUCGACGAGUCGAGUUGUUUGGGAAUGCAGCUCUAAAUGGGAGGUAAAUUUCUUCUAAAGCUAAAUACCGGCCAGAGACCGAUAGCGCACAAGUAGAGUGAUCGAAAGAUGAAAAGCACUUUGGAAAGAGAGUUAAAAAGUACGUGAAAUUGUUGAAAGGGAAGCGCUUGCGACCAGACUUGCCCGCGGAUGCUCAACCGGUCCUUCGGCCGGUGCACUCUUCCGCGGUCAGGCCAGCAUCAGUUCGGGCGGUCGGAUAAAGGCCUUGGGAAUGUGGCUCUCUUCGGGGAGUGUUAUAGCCCUUGGUGUAAUACGGCCUGCCUGGACUGAGGCCCGCGCUUCUGCUAGGAUGCUGGCGUAAUGGUCGUAAGCGGCCCGUCUUG